rnacentral:rRNA from 1 species
CGAUAAGGUUAAUAACCUUGUCGAUUGACGUUACCCGCAGAAGAAGCACCGGCUAACUCCGUGCCAGCAGCCGCGGUAAUACGGAGGGUGCAAGCGUUAAUCGGAAUUACUGGGCGUAAAGCGCACGCAGGCGGUCUGUCAAGUCGGAUGUGAAAUCCCCGGGCUCAACCUGGGAACUGCAUUCGAAACUGGCAGGCUAGAGUCUUGUAGAGGGGGGUAGAAUUCCAGGUGUAGCG